rfam:Erinaceus europaeus unplaced genomic scaffold scaffold00740, whole genome shotgun sequence
CCAAAGGCUCUUUUCAGAGCCACCCAAUUCUUCUAGAAAGAACUUAU